rnacentral:rRNA from 1 species
UACGGAGGGGGGCUAGCGUUGUUCGGAAUUACUGGGCGUAAAGCGCACGUAGGCGGACUGUUAAGUCGGGGGGUGAAAUCCUGGGGCUCAACCUCAGAAUUGCCUCCGAUACUGGCAGUCUCGAGUGCGGGAGAGGUGAGUGGAAUUCCCAGUGUAGAGGUGAAAUUCGUAGAUAUUGGGAAGAACACCAGUGGCGAAGGCGGCUCACUGGCCCGUAACUGACGCUGAGGUGCGAAAGCGUGGGGGAGCAAACAGG